GAUCAUGGCUCAGGACGAACGCUGGCGGCGUGCCUAAUACAUGCAAGUAGAACGCUGAAGGAGGAGCUUGCUUCUCUGGAUGAGUUGCGAACGGGUGAGUAACGCGUAGGUAACCUGCCUGGUAGUGGGGGAUAACUAUUGGAAACGAUAGCUAAUACCGCAUAAUAGCAGUUGUUGCAUGACAACUGUUUGAAAGGUGCAAUUGCACCACUACCAGAUGG
rnacentral:rRNA from 1 species